rnacentral:lncRNA from 1 species
UUUUUUUAAUUUGGGUAGAGUUUUCUUUAGUUUUCUUUUUAUUAAAGUUUUUUUAACUCUAGAGUUAGGGAUCGUUGCAGGUCUACGUUUUUUGUUUCUCUUACGCUUUCUAACACUUGUUUCUUCUUGUGUUAGCAGAUAUUAAAGGCACGCACAAUUCCUUCAUCCGUGUAGCCUCCAUUACAAAUUGCCUCGUCAAGUUUAUUG